AGCCUGCCCACCCUGGAAACGGC
rnacentral:snRNA from 1 species